rnacentral:rRNA from 1 species
GGCUCACCAAGGCGACGAUCCGUAACUGGUCUGAGAGGAUGAUCAGUCACACUGGAACUGAGACACGGUCCAGACUCCUACGGGAGGCAGCAGUGGGGAAUAUUGGACAAUGGGCGAAAGCCUGAUCCAGCCAUGCCGCGUGUGUGAAGAAGGUCUUCGGAUUGUAAAGCACUUUAAGUUGGGAGGAAGGGUUGUAGAUUAAUACUCUGCAAUUUUGACGUUACCGACAGAAUAAGCACCGGCUAACUCUGUGCCAGCAGCCGCGGUAAUACAGAGGGUGCAAGCGUUAAUCGGAAUUACUGGGCGUAAAGCGCGCGUAGGUGGUUCGUUAAGUUGGAUGUGAAAUCCCCGGGCUCAACCUGGGAACUGCAUUCAAAACUGUCGAGCUAGAGUAUGGUAGAGGGUGGUGGAAUUUCCUGUGUAGCGGUGAAAUGCGUAGAUAUAGGAAGGAACACCAGUGGCGAAGGCGACCACCUGGACUGAUACUGACACUGAGGUGCGAAAGCGUGGGGAGCAAACAGG